rnacentral:rRNA from 1 species
UACGAAGGGGGCUAGCGUUGUUCGGAUUUACUGGGCGUAAAGCGCACGUAGGCGGAUCGAUCAGUCAGGGGUGAAAUCCCAGAGCUCAACUCUGGAACUGCCUUUGAUACUGUCGAUCUGGAGUAUGGAAGAGGUGAGUGGAAUUCCGAGUGUAGAGGUGAAAUUCGUAGAUAUUCGGAGGAACACCAGUGGCGAAGGCGGCUCACUGGUCCGGUACUGACGCUGAGACGCGAAAGCGUGGGGAGCGAACAGG